rnacentral:lncRNA from 1 species
CUAGGAUAGACUCUGAUACUGUCUUAGAAUUUGGGUUGGGUCUACUAAUCUGUUUGUGUCAAUUUAGAAUUAGAGGAUACAUUAGAUUCACUUCAUCAUUAGUUAAAAGGUAAAACUAAAUAAAUUUACCAAUAGAUGACCACACAGAGUCUCAAGAUGCUCCGAGUUUGGUGGUUCCCUUAGCCUCAGUAAGGCAUUGAAUGGAAUCCCUCGAACAGAUUCAACCCAAAGAUUUUGUUGAAAUGAUUUCUUGCAUGCGGCCAAACAUAUGGGCUACUUUGGCUGAUGAAGUGCCUGCUUGAGUAUCUGGUAGAAGGAACAAAACAUUAGUAGAUAGAACUUUGAAGUAGCUUCACGACUGCCUUGCACUAAAUUCAGUAAAGGACAAUUUAUGUUUCUCUUCUCUACUGAUAUGAAUUGCAUUCUCAAAUUCAUGUGCUCAUAAAAACUUAAUAGUUGAAUUGCAUUCUCCUGUCUCACCCAAAGAUUCCAACACCCACUAUUCUCAUCACUUGCUGCCAUGUGGCUAUUUUGUUAGAGACUUGCACAACAGACAUCUCCACUCAUUUUCCCACAAUAUUUUCCAACCUACCUUAUUCCUCUUUUCCCUUCUUUGCCAGACCUUAAUUGGAAGCCCCAUUUUGGAUACCUCUUUUCCUUUUUCUUUACCUUUACCUUUCCGUUUCUAUUUUUCUUUUCAAUUGCAACGACCUUGAUUGAAUUGUUAUUGUUUCGUUAUUCAUAUCAAAUAUAAUCAAUUUUAAAGCCAUUGAUAUUUAUUUUAUUUUCUUUAUUGGUUGCAGCAACACUUUUCCUUUGGAAGCUUCUGUGCCUAGUACCUAUAUACUAUGGAUCAAGAAGACCUGAAGACCGGCACUGAGAAUCCUCCUGAAGUUUCUCCUAAUCCUCCGUCACCAGGGAAAGAUGAUAGCAAGAAGGAUACUGAUCAAGAAGACCUGAAGACGGGCACAGAGAAUCCUCCUGAAGUUUCUCCUAAUCCUCCGUCACCAGGGAAAGAUGAUAGCAAGAAGGAUACUGAUCAAGAAGACCUGAAGACGGGCACAGAGAAUCCUCCUGAAGUUUCUCCUAAUCCUCCGUCACCAGGAAAAGAUGAUAGUAAGAAGGAUACUGAUCUUCCUGAAGAAUCUGAUAAACAAGUGAGUGGCAAGAGUACUCCAAGAACAAUGAAGGCAAAGCU